UACGUAGGGUGCGAGCGUUAAUCGGAAUUACUGGGCGUAAAGCGUGCGCAGGCGGUGAUGGAAGACCGAUGUGAAAUCCCCGGGCUAACCUGGGAACUGCAUUGGUGACUGCAUUGCUGGAGUAUGGCAGAGGGGGGUGGAAUUCCACGUGUAGCAGUGAAAUGCGUAGAGAUGGUGGAGGAACACCGAUGGCGAAGGCAGCCCCCUGGGCCAAUACUGACGCCUCAUGCACGAAAGCGUGGGGAGCAAACAGG
rnacentral:rRNA from 1 species